UGAGGAAUAUUGGUCAAUGGCCGAGAGGCUGAACCAGCCAAGUCGCGUGAGGGAAGACGGCCCUACGGGUUGUAAACCUCUUUUGUCGGGGAGCAAAGAGAGUCACGUGUGACUCAUUGAGAGUACCCGAAGAAAAAGCAUCGGCUAACUCCGUGCCAGCAGCCGCGGUAAUACGGAGGAUGCGAGCGUUAUCCGGAUUUAUUGGGUUUAAAGGGUGCGCAGGCGGAGGUGCAAGUCAGCGGUCAAAUUGCGGGGCUCAACCCCGUACUGCCGUUGAAACUGCAUCCCUUGAGUGCGCGAGAA
rnacentral:rRNA from 1 species